rnacentral:rRNA from 1 species
UACGUAGGCAGCGAGCGUUGUUCGGAGUUACUGGGCGUAAAGGGUGUGUAGGCGGUUGUUUAAGUUUGGUGUGAAAUCUCCCGGCUCAACUGGGAGGGUGCGCCGAAUACUGAAUGACUAGAGUGCGGGAGAGGAAAGUGGAAUUCCUGGUGUAGCGGUGAAAUGCGUAGAGAUGCGGAGGAACACCCGUGGCGAAGGCGGCUCUCUGGGACGGUACUGACGCUGAGACGCGAAAGCGUGGGGAGCAAACAGG